GAUGAACGCUAGCGGCAGGCCUAACACAUGCAAGUCGAGGGGUAUGGGGUGCUUGCACCCCUGAGACCGGCGCACGGGUGCGGAACGCGUAUGGAACCUGCCCCUGUCAGGGGAAUAGCCCAGGGAAACUUGGAUUAAUGCCCCAUGGUAUCAUUACAUCGCAUGAUGUUAUGAUUAAAGAUUUAUCGGACAGGGAUGGCCAUGCGUACCAUUAGCUUGAUGGUGGGGUAACGGCCCACCAUGGCAACGAUGGUUAGGGGCCCU
rnacentral:rRNA from 1 species